rnacentral:tRNA from 1 species
GGGGCUGUGGUGUAGCGGCUGCACAGCGGACUUUUAAUCCGCACGGUGAGGGUUCAAGUCCUUCCGGCCCCACUA